rnacentral:rRNA from 1 species
UGCCUUACACAUGCAAGUCGAACGGUAACGCGGGGCAACCUGGCGACGAGUGGCGAACGGGUGAGUAAUACAUCGGAACGUGCCCAGUAGUGGGGGAUAGCCCGGCGAAAGCCGGAUUAAUACCGCAUACGACCUACGGGUGAAAGGGGGGGAUCGCAAGACCUCUCGCUAUUGGAGCGGCCGAUGUCAGAUUAGGUAGUUGGUGGGGUAAAGGCCUACCAAGCCUUCGAUCUGUAGCUGGUCUGAGAGGACGACCAGCCACACUGGGACUGAGACACGGCCCAGACUCCUACGGGAGGCAGCAGUGGGGAAUUCUGGACAAUGGGCGCAAGCCUGAUCCAGCCAUGCCGCGUGCGGGAAGAAGGCCUUCGGGUUGUAAACCGCUUUUGUCAGGGAAGAAACGCUCUGGGCUAAUACCCCAGGGUAAUGACGGUACCUGAAGAAUAAGCACCGGCUAACUACGUGCCAGCAGCCGCGGUAAUACGUAGGGUGCAAGCGUUAAUCGGAAUUACUGGGCGUAAAGCGUGCGCAGGCGGUUGUGCAAGACAGGUGUGAAAUCCCCGGGCUUAACCUGGGAACUGCACUUGUGACUGCACAGCUUUGAGUGCGGCCAGAGGGGGAUGGAAUUCCGCGUGUAGCAGUGGAAAUGCGUAGAUAUGCNGGAGGANCACCGAUGGGCGAAGGCAAUCCCCUGGGNCUGCACUGACGCUCAUGCACGAAAGCGUGGGGGAGCAAACNAGGAUUAGAUACCCUGGUAGUCCACGCCCUAAACUAUGUCAACU